UAACACGUAAGGAGCGAGCGUUGUUCGGAAUUAUUGGGCGUAAAGGGCGUGUAGGCGGUUAACUAAGUCUUGUUUGAAAGACCGAUGCUCAACAUCGGAAACGGACAGGAAACUGGUUAACUAGAAUCCGGUAGGGAAAUGUGGAAUUUCUAGUGUAGGGGUGAAAUCUGUUGAUAUUAGAAAGAACGCCAAUGGCGAAGGCAACAUUUUGGGCCUGGAUUGACGCUGAGGCGCGAAAGCAUAGGGAGCAAACAGGAUUAGAUACCCUGGUAGUCUAUGCCGUAAACUUUGUACACUUGGUGUCGGGGGUCAAACCUCGGUACCGUAGCUAACGCGAUAAGUGUACCGCCUGGGGAGUAUGCCGGCAACGGUG
rnacentral:rRNA from 1 species